rnacentral:rRNA from 1 species
UAACGCGAAGAACCUUACCAGGUCUUGACAUCCUUUGAAGCUUUUAGAGAUAGAAGUGUUCUCUUCGGAGACAAAGUGACAGGUGGUGCAUGGUCGUCGUCAGCUCGUGUCGUGAGAUGUUGGGUUAAGUCCCGCAACGAGCGCAACCCUUAUUGUUAGUUGCCAGCAUUCAGUUGGGCACUCUAGCGAGACUGCCGGUGACAAACCGGAGGAAGGCGGGGACGACGUCAGAUCAUCAUGCCCCUUAUGACCUGGGCUACACACGUGCUACAAUGGCGUAUACAACGAGUUGCCAACCUGCGAAGGUGAGCUAAUCUCUUAAAGUACGUCUCAGUUCGGACUGCAGUCUGCAACUCGACUGCACGAAGUCGGAAUCGCUAGUAAUCGCGGAUCAGC